GCCUACGGGAGGCAGCAGUGAGGAAUAUUGGUCAAUGGUCGGGAGACUGAACCAGCCAAGCCGCGUGAGGGAUGAAGGUACAGAGUAUCGUAAACCUCUUUUGUCGGGGAACAAAGGCGGGGACGUGUCCCCGGAUGAGUGUACCUGAAGAAAAAGCAUCGGCUAACUCCGUGCCAGCAGCCGCGGUAAUACGGAGGAUGCGAGCGUUAUCCGGAUUUAUUGGGCUUAAAGGGUGCGCAGGCGGUCUGUUAAGUCAGCGGUCAAAGCCCGGGGCUCAACCCCGGCCCGCCGUUGAAACUGGCAGU
rnacentral:rRNA from 1 species